rnacentral:rRNA from 1 species
AAUAUUGGACAAUGGGGGCAACCCUGAUCCAGCCAUGCCGCGUGUGUGAAGAAGGUCUUUGGAUUGUAAAGCACUCUUAGUAGGGAGGAAGCGCUUUAGGCUAAUACCCCGAAGUCUCUACGCUACCAACAGAAUAAGCUACGACUAACUCUGUGCCAGCAGCCGCGGUAAUACAGAGGGUGCAAGCGUUAAUCGGAAUUACUGGGCGUAAAGCGCGCGUAGGUGGUUCAGUAAGAUGGGUGUGAAAUCCCCGGGCUUAACCUGGGAACUGCUUUCAUAACUGCUGAGCUAGAGUACGGUAGAGGGUAGUGGAAUUUCCUGUGUAGCGGUGAAAUGCGUAGAUAUAGGAAGGAACACCAGUGGCGAAGGCGACUACCUGGACUGAUACUGACACUGAGGUGCGAAAGCGUGGGGAGCAAAC